GAUGAACGCUGGCGGCGUGCCUAAUACAUGCAAGUCGAGCGAAGCGGGGACGGGUGAGUAACACGUGGAUAACCUCCUAUAAGACGGGGAUAACUUCGGGAAACCGGAGCUAAACCGGAUACUUAGAGAUGGAUCCGCGCUGCAUUAGCUAGUUGGUAAGGUAACGGCUUACAAAGGCAACGAUGCAUAGCCGACCUGAGAGGGUGAGCGGCAAAACGGGAACUUAGAAACUGUCCAGACUCCUACGGGAGGCAGCAGUAGGGAAUCUUCCGCAAUGGGAGAAAGCCGGACGGAGCAAUUCAGAGUGAGUGAUGAAGGGCUUCGGAUCGUAAAACUCUGUUAGUAGAGAAGCGGUACCUAAUCAGAAAGCCACGGCUAACUACGUGACAGCAGCCGCGGUAAUAC
rnacentral:rRNA from 1 species